rnacentral:lncRNA from 1 species
UUGAGGCCCUAAGGAUUAUUUACAUGCUUAUAAAUAGAGACUUAGUAGUAGGUUAGAGGGCAUCAUCUCAUUUUUACUCAUUCAUCUCUUGUAAAAUGUAACUCUCUCGAUUAUAGUGGAAAAACCCCCCAAAACCCCCGUGGACGUAGGUCUUCUCGACCGAACCACGUAAAUCCGGUAUCGUUUACUACUCGUUUACAACUUUCUAGAUUAGGUGUUGGUUUCUCAAUUCACCAUUUACAAUAAAAGAGAACGCAC